AAUUCUUAGUAUCCAUAGCCAUCUUACAUUUUAUUUGAUUUUGUUACCUUCAUUUGUGGAAACUGUCUUAUCUCUAGUAACAUUAAGAAACGUCAGAAUUCCACGGAAUUAAAAAUCAGACUAUAGUUAUAGAAGUAGUAAUAAUAUCA